UCUGAAAUACACAGGGCAUCAUUACAAAGGUUGCCUGCAAAUAUGGAAUAUGUCAUAGAACACUAUAUGAAAUAGAAAAUGUUCUGGAUAAGAUGAGCCAAAAGUCUUAGCAUUAUCUUGGCAAACAUCACGCAAUCUUAAAUAUUGUGUGCGAAAACUUUAGAAAGAAAAUACGAUGAAAAGAGGGGAUCUUCCCAAAAACCAACAAGACAAUAGGCUUGAUAUUAUGGUGGCAUAUAUUACCUAAUUGGUUUCAGCAUAAAGUCGUCCAACCAAAGAAUAGUUAAGGUUUAGAGCAACUGUCCCAGUUUCAGCUAAGGGCAGGCUCUUGGAGUUUUUUGUCCAGAAUUUCAGUGGUUUCCGGCUUUUCAUAGUUUUCAACUUCUGCUUUGGGCAUGAAUUACAAAGAUCUCUUGAAAUUGAGCAGGUAAAACAAGAAGAAAAGGCAAUUCAGAGCACCUUGAAAUCAUGAAGUUCACAGUUCUUCCUUAUAUAAAGACAACGCGUGACAAACUUCUAUGUACGAUAUCAUUAAUGUAGAAGUUGUCUUCUUUUAUAUGUAUGUCAAAAUAAACUAGCAAAAUAAGACAACAACAGCAAGCUACUUUACCCAUGAUAGCACUAACUAUGAGGAAGACAUAAAAUGUAGCCCCCAUUAUGACUUAAAUUCCAAACAAUUCAAAGUCAUUUCAAAGAUUUUGUUGGCAUGCAAAAAUCGAAGUUAAUAAGAGCACAUGCAAGUCAAUUUGAAAAUUUAUACCAUAUAACAAUGCUUAGAUGAGUAGAGGAUGGCAUGAUCAAAGCAACAUUGGCCUGGCCCUGAAUAGCAGUCAACUAGCAUUCAAUAUCACAGCAAAGGCAAAGAUGAAAAUAUGAUGUGGCUGUAAAGAUCAGCGAGAAAUGACAAGAAAAUGGCAAGGAAAGCAAGAGGAAGAGUAAGGCAAAAAAGAAAUCGGUGAUGGAAGUUGACAGGGAGUGGCAGAUGUAGAGGCAAGUAAGCAUAGACUACGGGCAGGAUCCUGAUACGGGCAAGAGCAGAAAGGGUAUGCAGAUGUUAUGUGAGAUACUCCCAAAGUUCUGUUUAGCCAUAUUUAAAUUGGUGGUUUGCCAAAAUUGACUACGGGUAGGAUCCUGAUACUCCCAAAGCAUAGACUACGGGUAGGAUCCUGAUACGGGCAAGAGCAGAAAAGGUAUGCAGAUGUUAUGUGAGAUACUCCCAAAGUUCUGUUUAGCCAUAUUUAAAUUGGUGAUUUGCCAAAAUUGAACUCCACAAGUUAGGUUUCGAAGGUAUCAUAAAGUGAGUUUGGUUCCAAUUAGCCAUAGAACUACGAAGGUACCAUAAAGUGAGUUUGGUUCCAAUUAGCCAUAGAACUACUCCUGAUCAACAAGGAUAUUAUCAUACUAAGCAACCACAUGAAAUCCAAAAUAUACUGUACCACCUCUCAAACUAAGAAUCGUAUACUUUCAAUUCAUUUUGUCCCCUUCUUUUCGGAUUCAAUAUGACCAUAACAUUUCAGCAUUACUUCUAUUAAAGGCUUCGAGAAGCUGAGUCCUUAUUCAGCUUCUCUUAAGGGAUAGCUCAUAACAUUUUAUGACAGGAGAGAUUAUCAAAACAAAUAUACAUGGAUUAAACGCAGUAUAAUAUAAGAAAAGAAAAACAAAGCAUGAUGAUCAAACUGUAAAGGAAAAUUGGAUUGCCAGUGGCAGAGCUCACCACC
rnacentral:lncRNA from 1 species